ACGGGAGGCAGUAGUGGGGGAUAUUGCACAAUGGGGGAAACCCUGAUGCAGCGACGCCGCGUGAGCGAUGAAGUAUUUCGGUAUGUAAAGCUCUAUCAGCAGGGAAGAAAAUGACGGUACCUGACUAAGAAGCUCCGGCUAAAUACGUGCCAGCAGCCGCGGUAAUACGUAUGGAGCAAGCGUUAUCCGGAUUUACUGGGUGUAAAGGGAGCGUAGACGGUUUGCCAAGUCUGAUGUGAAAGCUAGGGGCUCAGCCCCUAAACUGCAUUGGAAACUGGUAGACUAGAGUGUCGGAGAGGUAAGUGGAAUUCCUAGUGUAGCGGUGAAAUGCGUAGAUAUUAGGAGGAACACCAGUGGCGAAGGCGGCUUACUGGACGAUAACUGACGUUGAGGCUCGAAAGCGUGGGGAGCAAACAGGAUUAGAUACCCUGGUA
rnacentral:rRNA from 1 species